rnacentral:rRNA from 1 species
AUGGAAAGGUUUCUAAAAAAGAGGAGAACCAUAGUGCAAGAUGAAGGCCCGUCACACGAACAUUAUCAGAAUGAUGCCUCGAUCCCGCCACUGUCGGUCAAACAAAAUGAUGUCCCCUCACCACAUGAACAGGUUGAUGUCCCAGCCCCGCCAUCACCACCUGGACAGAAUGAUGCCUCCACACAUGAACCUAAUUCUGCCAAUAAUACAAGGAAUUUAUUUCAAGUUGAAGAAGAGAUCAAUUGGGAAGAAGAAAUUAAAUUUGAUCCAGGUAAAAGGAGAAGUAUAGAUGAGUAUCAUCCAAAUCUGAGAGAUAUGGUAAGAAGGAAGUAUUUGGUCAAUGGACCUUGUCAGCCUCGUAUUGGUGAUUUUACAGUAACAGAUUUAUGUGGUAGAGAUAGAAGGUUCGUUCGGGAAUGGUUUUAUGAGUUUGAGAGCUGGCUUGAACCACACAAGAAGAAAGAAGCUAGAUAUGAUGCAUUUGUUGCAAAUGGUUGGUAAAGUUGGAAUAAAAAAUAUAGAUUAAAGGAGCAUGUAGGAGACAUCAAUAGUGCUCACAACCAAGCAAAAAGAGAUUGUGAUGCUUUGGAGAAACAAAAG